ensembl:lncRNA
UGAUGUUUUUUUGAAAAAACACUUAUUAAUUUAAUAAAGUCCAAUUUCUUUUAUUUUUUAUUUUAUAGUUGAAACUUUUGGUGUCUUAUCUGAAAGAUCUUGGUUUUUCUCCUAUAUUUCCUUCUAAAAGUCUUAUUUUGUCAUUUUUAAGCAUAUGUGAAUAAUACAUUUCAGGUCAAUUUUGGCACGUGUUGUAAGGUAAGGGUAGAAAUCCAUUUAUUUUACACUAGAUGUCCAGUUUUUCCAACACCUUUGAUUGAAAAUAAUAUGCUUUUCCCAUUGAAUGACCUUCAAACUUUUAUUGGACUUCAACUGAAUCUGUAUGUAUGGAUCUGCUUUUAGACCCCUGUCUCUUGAUUACUAUAGUUUCAUAGUAAGCCUUGAAAUCAGGUUGUGUAAGUCUUCCAACUUUGCUCUAUUUCAAAAUUGUUUUGGCUAUUCUAGAUCCUUUGCAUUUUCAUAUAAAUUUCAGGACCAGCUUGUCAAUUUUUAUCAAAGAAAAAGGCCGGCUAUGAUUUUGAUUGGCGUUGCUUUGAAUACAGAGAUUACUUUGGAGGAGAAUUGGCAUCUUAAAUCUAUUUAGUCUGUUGAUUCAUAAGCAUGGUAUCACUCUUCGUUUGUUUAGGUCUUCUUUCAUUUCUCUCAUCAAUGUUUUGUGCUUUUCAGUGUAUGUGCCAUGCACAAAAUGUAUCCCUAAGUAUUUCAGAGAUAUUUUUUGAUGUUAUUGUAAAUUUUUUAGAUCCAUUCAUACUUUUUCAAUUACACAGAUAUACAGUUGAUUUUCCUUAUUUAUUGACCUUAUGCCCUAGAAUCUUACCAAACUCACUUAUGCAUUCUAGUAGCAGUUAGCAAAUAAAGACAGUUUUAUAUCUUCAAUUUCAAUCUUAAGUCCUUUUCAUUCUUUUCCUCACCUUAUUGCACUGACUAGGAUCACCAGUGUAUUGUGUUUUCUGUGUUUGCAGUGCCGACUCUCCAACAUUCUGCUCCACAAAUUCCAGCCUGUGUUUCCUCCCCCAAUUCAAUUUCUGUCUCCUCAAAUCAGCAAGAAUAGUAGCCUCUGUUUUUGUUUCUGUCACUGACUUAUGGCCCAGAAACUGUCACUAGUCCUUGAUAGAGCUCAUCUUGUUUGCUUGCUAUUUCUCAGGGAUCACAGUCCUGCUCUGGCUGUUGUCUACUGUCUGAAAGCUAGCAUUUCAUAGAUUUUUCUUAGUGUUUUUUAGUUAUUUUAGUGGCAGGGUAUAUCCAGUCCCUGUUACUUCAAAUGACCUGAAGCAAAAUUCCUCUUGUGUGUCUCUGAAAUUAAAGUAUUUCCUGUAAACAUCAUAUAGUUGGAUCUUUUGAUUUUAUUCAUUAUGACAGUCUCUGCCUUUUAAUAAGACUUAGAUAUGUUUACAUUUAGUGUAAAGAUUUGUGUGGUUGAGUCUAAGUCUACUCUCUAGCUAGUUUUUUAAUAUUUGUUUUCUAUAUUUCUCUCUUCUUUUAUACCUCAUUUUCUGUCCUCUUUCCAAAGAUAUUUCUUUUUGGUAUUCCAUUCCUUCCCCCCAAUUAGCUUUACCUAUACCUUUUGAUAUUUGGUAUUUUGUUUAAUAAUUACAAUUCAGUUUUAUCAUUCUUUGUGCUAUUCUCGUCCAUGUCUUCAUUUAAUGUAUCUUAUGAACUCCACAAUAUAUGAUUUUUUUGCUAUAGUCUAUUGACUUAAAAGUAUUUAAGAAUAUAAAAAUUGUCUUUUAUAUCUAUUCACAUGGUUACCAUUUCCAGUGAUCCUCAUUCUUUCCUUAAUUCCUUAAUUCCAUUCACUUGGAAUUCCUUUCAACUAAAAAAAAGCUUUCUUUAGCAUUUCUUACUGUAUUGAUCUGCUGAUGAUAAAUUCUCUCAGCUUUCAUUUAUAUAAAAUAUGCCUAUUUUGCCUUCAUUUUGGAAAGAUUCUUUGCUCGAUAUGGAAUUCUAAGUUAACAGAUUUUUUCCUAAACUCUGCAUUUUAAAUAAAUGACUCUAUUGCUUUUGGCCCCCAUUAUUUCUGAAGAUAAGCCAGUUGUUAUCUGUAUUAUUGUUCCUUUUAUUGUAAUGUACCUAAUUUUCCCCAAGUUGUGUUUAAAAUUUUCUGCUUACCUUCAGUUUUCAGGAUUUUGAAUUAUAUGCAUAAAUGCAUUUCCUUUGAAUUUAUCUUGCUUAAGGUUUGCUGAAUCUCCUGGAUCUCUUACUAAUUUAGAAAUAGUUUUGGACAACAUUUUUUCAAAUUAUCUUGUCUGCCACUUCCUCUCUCUCCUUUCUUUCUGCGACUGCAAUUAGACAUAUAUUAGAUAGAUGAUUUUAUUUCACAGGUUGUUGGAACUAUGCUAUUCUGUUAAUCUCAGUGCAUGACUUUUUAAAAAUUUCAGAUAUUUUAUGUUUUAUUUCUAAGAUGUUCAUUUGUAUCUUAAUUAAGGUUUCCACAUCAUUCUACCAAUU